rnacentral:rRNA from 1 species
AUGCGCGUCCUAUGCAUGCAAGUCGUACGCACGCGCUUCGGCGCGUGAGUGGCGCACGGCUGAGUAACACGUGGGAACCCGCCCUCCGGUGGGGGAUAACGCGACGAAAGUCGCGCUAAUCCCGCAUACGUCCGCAAGGGGAAAGCGCUUCGGCGCGCCGGAGGAGGGGCCUGCGGCCCAUCAGGUGGUUGGUGGGGUAACGGCCUACCAAGCCGAUGACGGGUAGCUGGUCUGGGAGGAUGACCAGCCAGACUGGGACUGAGACACGGCCCAGACUCCUACGGGAGGCAGCAGCAAGGAAUUUUCGGCAAUGGGCGCAAGCCUGACCGAGCAACGCCGCGUGCGGGAUGACGGCCUUCGGGUUGUAAACCGCUUUUCGGGGGGACGACUACGACGGUACCCCCGGAAGAAGCCCCGGCUAACUCUGUGCCAGCAGCCGCGGUAAGACAGAGGGGGCGAGCGUUGUCCGGAGUUACUGGGCGUAAAGCGCGCGCAGGCGGUGGUCUCAGUGUCGUGUGAAAGCCCCCGGCUCAACCGGGGGAGGUCAUGGCAAACUAGACGACUGGAGCGGCGGA